GAUGAUUCCACGAUAAUAAAAGUGUCGUUAUUUAUGUAUUAUUUUGACGUUAAUACUGCAGUAUGUCAUCAUUUGAACUGUAACACGCGUUCCCGGCGCACGCGUUUACCGCGCACGACAACGUUUAUAAUAUUUAAACCACGAAACGCAGCAAUAAAAAUGUUCAAAUACGUCUAUUUGGCUGUAUGCAUAUUAUGUCUGUUCUACGUGCUAGCCGCUGUCUAUGUGCUAUUCAGCGACUUGAUAUUGGAUCCGUUGUACGGUUAUCUGUUUGGCUGAGGUUAGAGUAUUUCCAUCGCAAAUCCCGACGUAUUCAAACCGUCCGCAUAACAUCCUACUAUUAUUAGGACGUAGGUACCGGACUAGUACUAACUGCUCCCGAUGGACGUAACCAUUAUAUUCACGACCAACUCGACCAAAUACUGCGACCGCAGUCCAAAUCGUGUUCCACCGCAGUAUGGUCGACGGUCGUCUGCAAUCACUAACCGUCGUCCGACAUAUCUGACGAAUCGCGCGCGCCAACACAUGGGAGGACAUAGAGACAAUACUGAAAGUUUAACGGUUCGUGUAUAGCCAACUAAUAAAAGGACUUCUACAUAGCCAACAUAGAAAAUAGUUUUGCACAUAUGACACGUAUUGAAACUGGAUUUGGAAUGAUUCAUAAAGAAAAUUAGCUGUUUAAAGAAAAUGGUAUCAAAUAAUUAUGGAAUUACACGUACCAGGAUAUGUCUAUUUUUAAUUUUAA